AUGGAGUCGCAACAACUCUUUGUCCUACACCAGUCGUUAGAUGACAUGGCAACUCUAAAGGAAAGUGGUCAUCAAUAUGAACCACAUGCUUGGCGGUUACCGCUUUGGCCGCACGUUCUGAUCGUCUCGCAUCGAGAUGUUUUUGUUCGAUUGUUCGAAUUGGUUUUGCGUCCGAGCUCCUAUAAAUACAAGCUUUCCCUGCUUCUUCAAUUCGUCCACGUGGUCAUCGCCCAGUUCCAGGCCUUUGCGGCGUCCCCGGGCGCGUUGUCGUUCUUCGUCGCCGCGGUCACGGGUUUGCCGCCGCCGCGAUCUUGGCGGCCUCCGACAAGACGUCAGAUCCAAGCGAGGUUUUGCGCCGGCGAGGCUCUUUCGCUCGCGUCCUCUCCUCUGCCCAGUUCGCCGCCCGUUACAAGCGUUGAUACGCUCUGGCGAGGCCCGUCGCCGCUGGCUGCCGGAGCCAAGACAAGCCAGCGGAGGCGAAGCGUCAACGCGUCGCGGCGAGGCGGCCAUGUCGGUGUCUUCAGGCUGGAGCGUGUGUUCUACGCUCGGUGGCCGUGGAAGCGCCUCACCUCCAUCGCCGCCUACGACAGCAAGACAUGGCCAUCCACAUCACCCGCUGGCUUCGAGCCCGUCUCCAUCCCGCGCAUCUGCCAGAUCGGCCAGCUGCGAUUUGGACCUCUCCAACCCCAACCUCAUGCCGGCCGCCAGCGGCUACAUCCAAAUCGACUGAGGUGGCAUCUGCAAGUGCACCACACCAACACCUACGUAGACAUCUACGUCGGCCGCCGCCGCAACGAGGUCGUCCUCACCGUCCGCGGCCUCAACCUCACCCGCAACGCCGAUUAUAAGCUCCUGCAUUGUAACUCGCUGCAUCCUAGACGGACAGCAAGCUGA
rnacentral:rRNA from 1 species